AUCAACUUUCGAUGGUAGGAUAGAGGCNUACCAUGGUGGUAACGGGUAACGGGGUGUUAGGGCACGACACCGGAGAGGGAGCNUGAGAAACGGCUACCACAUCCAAGGAAGGCAGCAGGCGCGCAAAUUACCCAAUCCCGACAUGGGGAGGUAGUGACAAUAAAUAACAAUACAGGGUUCUUUUGGAUCUUGUAAUUGGAAUGAGUACAAUUUAAAUCUCUUAACGAGGAACAAUUGGAGGGCAAGUCUGGUGCCAGCAGCCGCGGUAAUUCCAGCUCCAAUAGCGUAUAUUAAAGUUGUUGCAGUUAAAAAGCUCGUAGUUGAAUUUCGGGAUCAAGGAAUCGGUCAUGCCUCGGUAUGUACUGGUUUUAUUGGUUCUCACCUUCUAAAGAACCAUGAUGUCAUUUAUUUGAUGUUAUGGGGAAUUAGGACUGUUACCUUGAAAAAAUUAGAGUGUUUAAAGCAGGCUUACGCUUGAAUACAUUAGCAUGGAAUAAUGAAAUAGGACAUCAGAUUCUAUUUUGUUGGUUUCUAGGAUCGAUGUAAUGAUUAAUAGGGAUAGUUGGGGGCAUUAGUAUUCAAUUGUCAGAGGUGAAAUUCUUGGAUUUAUUGAAGACUAACUCCUGCGAAAGCAUUUGCCAAGGAUGUUUUCAUUAAUCAAGAACGAAAGUUAGGGGAUCGAAGACGAUCAGAUACCGUCGUAGUCUUAACCAUAAACUAUGCCGACUAGGGAUCGGAUGAUGUUUAUUUUUUAGUGACUCAUUCGGCACCUUACGGGAAACCAAAGUGUUUGGGUUC
rnacentral:rRNA from 1 species